rnacentral:lncRNA from 1 species
UUACAAGAAAUGCAUGGAGCAAAGGUUUAGGGAAUUGGUGGCAAGCAAGGCCCUUGAGGGUCUCCAGGCUGAGGUUACUGAUAUGGACUGGGAAAGUACCUUCUAUUUGCGCCAUCUCCCUGAAUCCAACAUGGCUGAAAUCCCAGAUCUAACCGAUGAAUACAGGAAGGUGAUGAAAGAAUUUGCAUUGAAAUUGGAGAAACUAGCAGAGGAGCUGCUGGACUUGUUCUGUGAGAACCUUGGGCUCGAGAAAGGGUACCUCAAAAAGGCUUUCUAUGGGGAAAAAGGUCCGACCUUUGGCACCAAAGUUAGCAACUACCCACCAUGCCCCACCCCAGAUAAAAUCAAGGGACUCAGAGCCCACACGGACGCCGGUGGCAUCAUCUUGCUGUUCCAAGACCCCCAAGUGGGCGGCCUUCAGCUUCUUAAAGACGGGGAAUGGGUGGAUGUUCCCCCCUUGCGCCACUCCAUUGUCAUCAACCUCGGGGACCAGCUGGAGGUGAUCACCAACGGCAAAUACAAGAGCGUGGAGCAUAGGGUGAUUGCCCAAACCGACGGUGCUCGGAUGUCGAUAGCUUCGUUCUACAAUCCCGGCAGCGACGCCGUUAUCUACCCGGCGCCAGCCCUGGUGGAGAAAGAAGAAGAAGAAGAGAAGAAAGGAUUGUACCCAAAAUUUGUGUUCGAAGAUUACAUGAAGCUUUACGCUUUGCUUAAAUUCCAGGCCAAGGAACCGAGGUUUGAAGCCAUGAAAGCCAUUGCAACAGCUUAAAAAAUGGAAGUUAAUCUACACCCUAAAAGUCCUUAACCAUAUAUGUACCAACCUGGAAAUCUUAUCGUUGUAAUUUUGGACCACUUCAUUAAUUGUUGGGGGUAAUAUAUAUUGCUACUUCAAUAAUUCCAUCCUUCAUACAGUUUCUACGUUAAACUCUAAAAUAUCUAAUUAUUCUUUUGAUGAUUGGUAUUGAUUUCAUUUACUUGGAUCUGCAAAACUUAAUGCCAUGAAAUUGAUUGAAUAGUUGGCGAAACAAUUGUUGCAAUUUUUGUUUUUACAUUUUAACUUACCAUGCUACCAACUCCAUCCUUUUUAAGCAUAACUCACAGAUGUAGGAUUAUAAACCCCCACUGUCUCCUCCUUUUUCUUUUAUUAUUUCAUACUUCAAUUUUGUACAUCCACAAACAUAUAUGUUUUUUGAACCAACAUUUCUAGCCAAUCAAAUUUCACAAAACCACUCCUCAAACUACCAAAAUUCAUUGAAUAAAACCCACAACUCUGAUUAAUUUCAAAAUUCAAGUUACCAAAUGUUACUUACAUGAAAACUAACCCUACACGUUGUGUAUUGCUAAUGGCUACAAGUCUAAAUAAAAUAAUUGGGAUUUUCUCUAACCUACGUAAUGGGUGAUCAACUCAAGCCUAAACUAAACAUAGAAAUUAAUUUCCAGUUUAAUGAAUAACAUAGGUAGAAAAACACAAAUUCAAACCAAAUUUAAUUAAAAGAAGCCCCACAAUUAGUAAUUAUUGUUUUGGAGUUGUAAUAAAAUUUUUAUCCGACAUGCUUUACUAACAUGAUGAUAUGGGCUACAAAUAUCCAUUAAUAGAUGUAAUUCUUGAUGCAUUGGAAAGCUGACCAACAAAGCUACCGGUCAUAUGGAGAGUGUUUGGUCUAAUUCCCCGGAGGUCAAAUACUUAAGUUCAUCUAACCUCGUACGUUGGUACGAUGGUUAGGGUGUUUACCGUCUCAAAUGUAAGCUGGGUUCGAGUUGUGCUAAUCGCUUAUAAUUCACCAUAAAGAGAAAAACUUAAGUUCACCCAAAAUAAGUGUAUAUGAAGAUGAGAAUUUUAUCUCUCAAUAUAAUACUAAAAUUGUCCGCUCAAUAUCCAUUUAUGAAAACGGAACACAUUUCAUGAUCAUCACGUAGAUAUUUUAAUUACAACAAAAAAAAAAUUGAAUAACAAACACCCAAACUAUAAUUGAUAAUUAGUUUAAAUCGUAAGCAUGUUACUAACAAAUUUUUAGAGGUGAUUGAUUCAAGAUAGUUUGGGUGCAUAAUGUUUUUUCUCAAAUGAAUUAAUUAGUUAUGGGUUGAAAGUUAUGAGCAUAUUAAUAACUUAAAAAUAUUAGUUCGGUAAGAUUUAAUAUGAUUUUUAUUUAACCUAUAUAUUAAUAAACUAUCAAAAUUAUAAAAGUGCGAAUUUUGAAAAAAAAAGUAUUUAAAUGAGAACCAUAAUAUUCAUAAAGGACAUAAGGAAUUAUGAAUGAUCUAAAUCACUAAAAAAAUGUUAAAUUGUGUUGAAUUUAGGUAUAAUUAUUUAUAAUUAUAUAUGUGAAGCAUAUUUGCAUAACCAUAGUAAUUAGUGGAUCAUACUGAAUUAUGAUUACACUCUCCAAUUGUUGGAGGAUGGUGAGAAUAUUUGAAGUAAUUAUGCAUGUAAUUACAAACAAUUACAUUCAAAUGGGAGUAAUUACGUGGGAAUAUAUUUUAUUUUUAUAAUAUAAUUAAUAUACUAAUCUCAUUUAAAUAGUCUAAAAAGUUUUAUUAACCGAAGAUCCUUUUUUAGACAUGUUGAUGUAGUAAAUAUUUAAAUAAAUUACAUAGUAUCUAUUAUUUAUUUAUAUGUGGACAAAGACUAAUUGAGGAUGACAAGGAGUAUAUGUUUAAUAUUAGAGAGGGAAUAAUAACCCAACAAAUAUGGAAUGCUAAAUUGCUUAGACAAAAAAAAAUUAUAAAAUAUUUAUUUUUCAUGUUAAUUUUAUUAAAAUUGUAUAAAAAAAUACUUUUUUGGACUAACAUAUUACAUUUAAAGACUUCAAUUUUAAGUAGAAUUUUUCCUCAAGUAUUAUUGAUAAUAUUUUAUAACAGUUAGUAUUAUUUUUUAGAAUUUCAAAUUAUAAAAUUGUAUAAUUACAUUUUAUAUUACCAUUACCAAAUAUGAAAAAGAUAAUUACUUCGAUUCAAUUAGGUGUUCACGUAACAAAAUAAAUAAUUAAACAAACAAUUAAUAAAGAGUGUGGAUGACCAAGAACUAUAGAAUUUGCUGAUUAAAUGAACCGACGGGAAUGAUGGACAUGUCUCAUUUGGGGCUUAAAAUAAUUUUAUUUUAAUUCGAAUUAAUUAUUAUUCAAUAAAUGUAUUUGUUUUAUUUUGGUUAUUAAAAUGUGUAUUUGUAUAAAUAAUAAUUCAUGAAACUUUCAAUUUCAUUAAAGGGCUUUGAAAAAAAAAAAAAAAUGUCCCCACCACCUUUGGAACUCACCUUGCCGACCUCCAUGCACAUGCACAUGCACUUGCACUUCAAUUAUUUUAUAUAAAAUAAUUAGUUAUGAAUUUGAAUGCAUACAAUCAUUAUCCUAAACUAACUACAUUUUGAUACCUUUUUAACUGUCUCCCACAACCUGAUAUAUAAAAGGAAACAUUGCCUUUGAUUUCAUCUAUACAUCUUUUACCAUUAUUUAAUAAUUGAUACAUCAUUGCCAAGUUGCCAACCCAUCUCUCUUUGUUUUAUUGGUUAAGGUGAGUGCUUUGAAUCCUUACAAAUUUCUCUCAUAUUUGUUCUUUUUAACAUCAUGCUUAAAAUUAUUUAUAGCCUCUCCUCAAUCUAUAAAUAAAAGGGCAAUGCAGUUCACCACACUUGAACCCUCAUCUUUUUAUAUUAACAAUAAUGCACAUUCCAAUUAAGCUAAUACUCAAUUGACAAAUUUAAGUUCAAAUUUUAAUGUGUGUAAUUGCAAGAUACAAAUCUCCAAUCUUAUCGUGUGUAUUUCAUAUAUGAAUUUUGUCUAUUUUUUUUCAAUUUUUCAUCUAAUUUACUUUACAAAAAAUUAAUUUUACACGAUAAUUACUCAAAAAUAUAUAUUAUCCAUGAAUUUGAUUAUCCAUUGAAGGCCAACACAAUAAAUGAAGCGUUCUCAAAUAGGGGUGAGCAAAACUCGAUUCGACUCGAAAAAAUUAAAAAAAAGAAUUCGAAUUUCGAGUUAAACGAAUCAAGUUAUUUGAGUUAAUCGAGUUAUUUUUUUGAAUUUCGAGUUCGAAUCGAGUUGAGUUUUCGAAUUCGAAUCACUCAAAUAAUUCGAGUAAUUCAAAUAUCAAACUAUAAUAUUUUAUAUUUUUACCCCAAGCUCUCAAACCUUUUUAUUUUUCCCUCAAAAACUUUUACUCCUUCCCACUUUCCCCCCAAAACUUUUACUCCCCUCCCAUCCCAACCCCCCAUCUACCCAAAAUCCAUUUCCCACCAAAAUUUUACUCCCAAAACCCCUCAAAAAUUUUUAUUUUCCCCCAAAAUUUUUACUCCCUUCCCAUCCCACCCCCCAUCUACCCCAAACACACCCCCCAAUUUUUUUUAAAUAUUUUCCCUCCAAAAUUUUAAACUUUUACUCCCCAAAACUUUUUAUUUUCCCCCUAAACUUUUACUUCUCACCCUUUAUUCCCAAAUAAAAAAUCAAAAUUAUCCAAAAACAUCUUUAAACAUAAAUAGUAAUACUUUUAUUUAUAUAUACUAUUUAUAUUAUUAAAUUAAAUUUCACAUUUUAUAUUAUUUAUAUUAUUGAAUUGUUUAGUCAUAUUGAAUAUUUAUAUUAAAAUUGAAUUAUUAAUGAUGCCAUAAAAUAUUUGUGUUAAAAUUUUAUAUUGGUAUCAAUUUCACAUUUCAUAUUUAAAAUAACUUUUACUAAAAAAUCACAUUUUUACAUUUAAUAUAUUUUUUUAAUUCCAAAAGACAUAGUGACAAGAAUCUGAAGAUAAUUGAAACAACUAAGCAAGUAAAGAAGCUAACUCGUAUAUAAAAGAUUAAUAAAUAAAUUAUGAGGUGAUGAAAGUUAAUAAAAAAUUUAAUUAUGGUGGACAAAUUUUAUUAUGAUGAGUGACAGUGAUUACAAGGACCUAAAAUUGUUUUUUAAAAUUUAACUUGAACAAAUAUAUUCGAUUCGAUUCAAAUUUCAUUUCACUCGACUCGAUUCGAGAAAAUUUCAAAUCAAAUGAGGAUGAUAAAAUAUAAUUCAUCAACUCGAUUAACUUGAAUUUUUUUCAUUCGAUUUGAUCGAAUGCUCACCCUUACCCUCAAAAGAGUCGAAGGCAACCGAACAUAAGACCCCUAAACAGUAAGCUGAGAACAUAGAAAACCGAAUUUGGUAACUAAGUGAGCUGUACAAACAUGUGGUGAGGUAUUGUUAUUUUAUGAUUAAGAUAGAUCAUGCACAUAGUGUCCACAAUAUAAUUUUUAAUUUAACAAAAGUACAUAUAUAAAAGAAAUAAACUUGUUAUUUUAGCUUUCAAGCAAAAGAACAAAGAAAAAAAAAAGAAAAAGGUGGCUGCUAAAUUUUUUUUUAAUUGAGAGGGAGGAAUUUUCAAGGCUCCUUGAAUAAAUAAAUAAAAAACUAAUUUAAAUGUUAUAAAUUUGAACGGGUUAAAAAUGAGAUUUUCUUAGAAAGAUUCUUCUAGAAUUGUUUUUGUAUUUUGGCAACAAAUUUAUUAUAUGAGUAGAGUUUUUAGAGUAUAAGGUGAAAUAUGUUGUAUUUAAAAUAAAAGGAAAGGAUAGUAUUUAACUCUGCGUGUAAAAUAUCCUAUUCCUUGGGAGACAUUUAAGACAUGUGAAACACGAAUAUAUUUUACUUGUCAAUUUUUGUCUAUGAACUCCGCGUUUUUGCCUAACAACGACGACAUGGCGGCUAACAAUAGGCCCCUUUUUUGGCUGAAUGCCACAUUUUAUAUAUUAAUUCAAACAUACAUUCUUAAAUAAAUUUAAGAGUCAAGCUUUCUUACUUAUAAAAUUUAACUAUAACUUAUCUUGUAUUACAAUUUGACAUUUACUUUUGCUUUUUAAUGUUUGAAAUCAAAUUUUCAAUUCUUGUUCUUUUCAAAUAUGAAAUAGUUAUGGAAUGAGUUUCAUGAUGUGUCAAUCUCUUUCAAUUUUGUUUUUUUUUUACUAAUUACGUCAUUAAAUGAACAAAAAUAGAAUUUAAUUAAAGAAUUUUUUUCCAAGAUCGGAAUUAUAAUUGGAUAGGAGGGACUAAAGGUUUGAUAUUAAAAUUUUUUUAAAAUAAAUCGUAUUUGUUUAGGAAAAUCAAUUUUGAAUCAACAAUUUAAGAAAAAUCGAUUGACAUUGGUAUUGUUGUCAAUACAUAAGGACGUGGGUUCGAGUACGCUGAAGCGCAUUAUCUUCUUAUUUAUAAGUUGGGAGCGGCUAUAGUAAUUUUAGUCAUUGUGUAAAACAAAAAAAUAUGUAAUCAGAAUCUAUAAUAAAAUUAUUAACAAAAAUAUAUUUUUUAACCAAAUAAAUAUAACAUAAAUUUAGUUGACGGUGGAACGGAAUGAAAUUGCUGAUACUUAAAUUUUGGUCAAAAUUAACAAGAAAGAAGUGACUCUUUUAGAGUCAUCAAAAUGUGUGUCCAAAUGCCAACAAUGGACCCAAAGGACCAAAGAGUUGAUAGUUACUUCAAUAAGGCAAUUCAAUUUUAGCAUAGAUUUAACCCCCCAACAUUUGUUUGAAUUUCUUUUAUUUAAAAUAAUUAGAAAUCAUUGAUUAAUUAAAACUUUAAUCAAUUCAACAUAAAAAAUAGAUAAAAAAAAUUGAAAUUGUGACAAAUUUAAAUAUAAUCACUAGAAAAGUCGUAAUUAAUUUGUGACAAAAAUAGAUUAAAAUGCAAUUUUCAUAAAUAUAUUCAUUGUAUACCCAUCUAAAUAUUUUAUCUUAUUAUUUUGCUUUCAAUCACACCUCUUUGUAAAGUAGGUUAUGAUUUAAAAAAAAUUGAAUUUAAAUUGUAAACUUUUUAAAUAUCACAUUUAAUUAAGAAAUGAUUUUAAAAUUGGAGUUAUGCAUGUACUAAUAGUAGUAUUAUUUUCCAAUUUUCCUCCUCGCUUCCUUUGUUAAUUUGUUGAUACCAUUAAUUUUUGACCCACAAGCCGACAUCCUCUUGAAUUAUAUACCUAUAAACCUCACUUGUAACUAUCUAUAAAUAGCCCCAUACCCCUUUCCUCCAUUCUGCAUUAAACAAAUCUAAGCUUUUGCAUAAUAACAUCCCCACCGUAAACAGCCUCACUCUGAGAGUUGUUUAGAAAAAAAAUAAAGUGGUAAGAGAAAUGGCAAAAUUCCCAGUGAUCAACUUGGAGAAACUGAAUGGUGAGAGAGCAGCAACCAUGGAUCUAAUCAAAGAUGCCUGUGAGAAUUGGGGCUUCUUUGAGGUACCGAUUGCUACUUUAUAUGUAUAUAUACUCUAUUCUCCUUGGUAGAUUUUUGCUAAUUAUUAGCGUGGUUCAUUUGGUGCAGGUGUUGAACCAUGGGAUUCCCUAUGAAUUUAUGGACAGAGUGGAAAGCUUGACGAAGGAGCAUUACAAGAAAUGCAUGGAGCAAAGGUUUAAGGAACUGGUGGCAAGCAAGGCCCUUGAGGGUCUCCAGGCUGAGGUUACUGAUAUGGACUGGGAAAGUACCUUCUAUUUGCGCCAUCUCCCUGAAUCCAACAUGGCUGAAAUCCCAGAUCUAACCGAUGAACACAGGAAGGUGAUGAAAGAAUUUGCGUUGAAAUUGGAGAAACUAGCAGAGGAGCUGCUGGACCUGUUCUGUGAGAACCUUGGUCUAGAAAAAGGAUAUCUGAAAAAGGCUUUCUAUGGGGCAAAAGGUCCCACCUUUGGCACCAAAGUUAGCAACUACCCACCAUGUCCCACCCCAGACAAAAUCAAGGGACUCAGAGCCCACACGGACGCCGGUGGCAUCAUCUUGCUGUUCCAAGACCCCCAAGUGGGCGGCCUUCAGCUUCUUAAAGACGGGGAAUGGGUGGAUGUUCCCCCCUUGCGCCACUCCAUCGUGAUCAACCUGGGAGACCAGCUGGAGGUGAUCACCAACGGCAAAUACAAGAGCGUGGAGCACAGGGUGAUUGCCCAAACCGACGGGGCUCGCAUGUCGAUAGCUUCGUUUUACAACCCCGGCAGCGACGCCGUUAUCUACCCGGCGCCAGCCCUGGUGGAGAAAGAAGAAGAAGAAGAAGAAGAGAAGAAAGGAUUGUACCCAAAAUUUGUGUUCGAAGAAUACAUGAAGCUUUACGGUGUGCUUAAAUUCCAGGCCAAGGAGCCGAGGUUUGAAGCCAUGAAAGCCAGGGAAGCAACAGCUUAAAGAGAAUUCAAUACCUGACGUAGCUUUGAGUUUGAUCAAGAAAUGGGUUCUGUUAAUGGUGUAUUAAAGAAAAAAGAAGUCAAUGUUUAGUAUAGUCUAUUGAAUAAUCUAUUUUAUUAUAAACAGUGAGGAUCCUGUCAAUUUCUACCAUAAAAGAUUUGAUAGAAUAAAAUUACUUACAAAGGGAAUGGUGGGUUGCCACAAAGGAACAUGAAGAUAUGCAAUAAUCUAUUUUAAGUGUGUGAGAAAAAAAUAUUAAAGAAAAAAGAAGUCAAUGUUUACCUUAGGUGAGUGUUUUGAUUUAAUACUCUAAACAGUGACGAUCCUAGCUGCGGACCUUCAUGCACUUGCACUUCACUAUAAAAUAAUUAGUUAUAAAUUUGAUUGCAUUAUUUAAUUAAACAUUAGCUUUUAUCAUAAACUAACCACAUUUUGAUACGAAGGGCCCUUUUAACUGUCUUCCACUACGUGUUCUAUAAAAGGAAACAUUGCCUUUGAGAAAGCUAUUAUUUGAUGUAAUUAUUCUUACUAAUUAAGUCUUAAUUCAAUUAAUAUUGGUAUUGUUGUCAAUGUAGGAGGAAAAUGGGCUAUUUGUAGUUCUAGACAUUGUAUUAAACAACAAAGAUCAAAAAUCAUGAUACAUAAAAAAUACAACAUUAAAUUUAGCUGAUUAAUAAUUGGUACAUCAUUGCCAUCCAGGCCUUCGCAUUGUUUGGAUUUUAGGGAUUUUAGUUGAAUAUAAUUUUUUUUCCAUCUAUUGUACUUUAUAAAAAUUUAAUUAUAGACUGUAAUUACAUUAAGCAUAUUAAAAAUGGAAACAAGGGCGAAGGAAGGAACAACCCUCAAUCAUAUUAAAAAUUGAAACAACUCCCUCGUAUGAUACAAUUAUAGUUUGGAAUCCUUCAAAUUUUGAUUUACUACUCUUUUUAAAAAUCAAUCACUAUAAUAAUAUAAUUACAUUUCAAUCCUUAUCAAAAUAUAGUUUUAACCCAACAUAUAAGACCCAGAAACAGAUAACCAAACUUGAUAUCUAAGUGUGGUGAGGUAUUGUUAUUUUAUGAUUAAGAUCCACAUUAUAAUUUUUAAUUGAACAAAGUUACAUAUAUAUAAAACAAAUAAAUAUACUAGUUGUUUUAGCUUUAAAAAAACACACAGAAAAGGAUAACCACACAAACAAAAAAACAAAGGUGGCUGCUAAACAUUUAAAAAGAAAAAAAAAAAGGAGCACAAUUAGGUUAGAAAUUAGUAGAGAGAAGAAAUUUUCAAGACCACUUGAAUGAAAGGAAUGAAACAUCAACUUAUUAUUUGAUCAAAUCCUCACUAUUAUGGAUGUAAUGCAAGUAAGGAUCAAUUCAAAUCAAACUAAUGCCACUCUUUAUUUUCCUUCUAAUACUGUGAAGGCGAAUAGUUUUUUUAGAAGAAAUUAAAUUACAUAUUUUUAUGAGGACUAAUAUAUAAAUUUAUUAUUUUAAUAAUUUAUAUCUUUUUACUUUUUUAAGGAUUAAAUUAAAAUUUUAUCAUUUUCGAGUGCCAUAUACUAACUUAAAUUUUUCAUAAAUUUUUGAGGGGUUGAGGCCCCUUCCAACCCCCUCUAGCAUUGUCCCUGCUUUCUAGUAGCAAAUUUAUUAAGCAUAAUGACUUUUUUGACCCUCUAAUUUAAAAAAAAAUGUCAAUUUAGCCAUCCAUUUAAUUUUUCACCUCUUUUAGCCCUUUAACUUGAAUUUUUUUUGUUAAAUCACCCAAAAAUGGAUGGAAAAAUUAAUGUUUGUUAACUUUAAUGAUGCGGCAUACACAUGGAUUGCCAUGCAUAUAACAUGUAGCAUUUAAUUAAUUUUUAAAAGUAUAUUUUUUUUAUAGUUUUUAUAAAUUUGUAAUAAUUUUAAUGGUUUUAAUGGUUUUAAUUUUGAAAAAUAGUUUUUAUAAAUUUUCUUGAAUUUUUAAAAUUUUUAAAAAUUAAUUAAAUGUUAACGUGUCAUCAUGUUAUGCAACGUCAACAAAGUUAAAAAGUAUUAACUUGCCCAUUCAUUUUGGGGUGAUUUGACAAAAAAAAUGUAAGUUUAGGAACUAAAAAAGGUGAAAAAUUAAAUUGAGAACUAAAAGAAUUUUUUUAUAUAAAGUUGAAAGGUUAAAUAAUUCAUUAUGCGAAUUUAUUAUGGUUGGUUUUUUCACUGUAUGUUAGUGGGGGUUUUAGAUUAUGCAAGCAUGAUUUUAAGGAUGAUAUAUGAAAAAUGUGAUAAGAUUUAAACUUUACUUAUAGAAUUAAAAUAAAUUUUGGUGUCAGUAAGCAAAUUAAACUUUAAAAACUUUUCUGUUUUUCUCCCUUCCAUCAAUUCUCUCUUUCUUUUUUCUCCUUAUUUAUUUCACGUGCCUUCUCUCUUUUCAAUUUGCAUAUAUAUUUUGUAGAUAUCUUUGUUGCCUUCACAAAUUGUAAUGGACAAAUGAUGGUAUCUGUUGAUGCUGAAAUUUCACCGGUCACUAGUAGUUUCUCUUAAAAGUGAGUGGCUCUUCGUUACCUUCUUAAUUUGUUUCUAUUUUGAGAGUAUUUCAAAAUAAUAAAUAAUUUCAUGAGUCACUUUUGGGCACUUGUUUUCUUUAAGCUUUAUGUGGUUUUUUUUUAUUUGUUUUCUAUUAUUUUAAAAAGUCUUUACUUUUAGAAGUUGUUUGCUCUUGUAUCAUGAUUUUUAGUAUUGUUUUUGCAAGUGAUUUUAAGGACGAUUUUGUUGUCAUCCUCUCUAUAGUGUGGUGGAUGCUUAAUUCUUUUGUUGAUUUUUGUCUGCCGCUUUGGACUAUCCGAAGUUGAUUUUCCUAUCGCAUUAAGUGCUUGCAAUCACUCCAAAUAUUUCAUGCUUAAGUUGUAAAAGAAGCCAAUUGUACAUGUCACAAUGUUUAUUUGAUGUUGAUGUUGAGGUUGAAGUUUCUUUUAUGUUGUUGGAGUUUGUCCUUUACCACUUACGAUGACUGUUUUUUCUCUCGAUUUAUAUAAUUUCAUUAAUAGAAUAAAUUAAUAAAUUUCCCUUAAUAAAAAAUAGUUUUGGUUUUUAUUUAAUAAAAUUUCUUAUGACUUAUCAUUCUUCCAGAGGUAUUGGCAAUUUUCCAUUGCUCAUAUCAUAUGGAGUGCAUGUACUCCACAUUUAAAACAUGUCAAAUUUUACCCAAAACAUUCCACACCAUUUUGGAAUUUGAUUUUUCUUUUCCUUUUUAUUUUACUUUUCAACACGUGAUGCGUUUCUAAUACAACUUUUGGAAAAUAAUUUAUAUAAGGAUAAUUUUAAAAGUCAUCAAUAAAAUUUCGUUAUAUUUAAAGAUAUAAAAUUAUUAAUUUUUUUUAAACAUAAGUAAUUAAAAUAAGAGAAAAAAAACUAAAUAACAUAGAAACUUUAAAAUUUAUACAUUUCUUAUUAUUGAAGAUUCAACACAAUGUAUUUUUUACUUUUAAAAAAUGAAAUAAAAACAAUUUAAAAUGGGAAAAAAAAAGAAAAAAAUCACUAUCUAGAAAUUAUUUUUUUAAAAAAAAUUAGUUUCACAAAAAUAAAAAAUAUUAACUUCAGAAAAAAAUAAUUAAAAACUAUAAAAUAAAAAAUAUGUUUGUUUAUAAUUUAAAAAAAAAUAAUUAUUUAAGUAAUUUAAUUAAAGUUAAAUUAGGUUGAAGAAGAUAGUAGAUGUAGAUGAGUGUUAUUUUUAAAAUUUGAUAAUGUGACGAAAUUUUAUUAGUACUUAAAAUUGUAUUUUUUAAAAUAAUCCAAAUAUAUAAUAAUAACCGAGUAUUAAAAAAUUAUACAUUUAUACGGAUUAAUUAAUAAAUGAUACAUUUAUUAUUAGAUCACAGAAAUCUUAAGAACUAAAUACAUUGAACAAACAUGUGGUGAGGUAUUUUGUUGUUUUAUGAAAAAGGAUUACCAAAUUUUUAGCCCACAUGCAAAGGAACAAAAAUAGAGGUGGCUGCUAUAAGGGAAAAAAGAAGAAGCAAAAUUAGGUAAGAAAUUAAUAGAGAAUGAAACAUACAUUUAUUAAGGGUGUAAUGUAAUUAAGAAAAUAUACAAUAUUAAUUUAUAUUAAAAUUCAUUCUUAUUUUUACUUGAAAGAAAUGUUUUGACUUGUCAACUGAAUUACACGUUUUAGCCUAACAAGGACGACAUGGCGGCAAACUACAGGGUAUUGGAGUAGUAGUUUUAAUCGUAUUCAUAUUCAGAUUUUUCCAUAAAAUAAACAUAAACUCCUUAAACCAAGUCCAUCGUCACAUUUAUUUUUUUUAUUUUUAUUUUUAUAUAUAAUUCAAAUUCCCAAAAAUCUAACACUAAGGCAAAUCAUGUUUGUGUUAUUUAUUUUUAAAAAACUUUUAAUUUAGGUAUUCAUGUUUGAAUUUAUUCAUAUUUUAGUCUCCUGUUGUUAAAUUGAUAACAAAAAACCCUUUUUUUAACUUAUAGAAUAACUCAUUUACUCAUCAGUACUUACAUAUAGCGGUGUUCAAACGGUUAGUUCAGUUAAUACUCUAAUUGAAUUACCCAAAAUGUAAACAUAAAUUUUCUUCAAAUACAUUAAUCGAAUCGAAAUAUUUCCGUUAAUUUUGAUUAAAAUAAGUAUAAAACAUAUAAAAAUUACAGUGCUGAUGUUCAUUUUUUUUAAUAGUUCAAAAACUUUAAAUGAAGGGAAAAAAACAAAUAAAAUAUUAGAAUCACUACAUAAAUCUUGAAAGUUAACAACCAAACAAAAAGUUAACAAUUAUUUAUAAUAUUUAUUAUUUAAUUCAGUUAAUUACUCAAUUUCAAACCAAAUUAACCGAUAAUCAAAAUUUCACAAAAUCAUUAAUCGACCUCCAGCCGAACUAAAUUCGGCCACUGAUCGAUAAACCGAAUUAGAUCGGUUCUGUCAGUUAAUUCAGUUUUAACCAAACUAUGAACCCCUUUGCUUACAUAUUAUAUCAAUUUGAUCCGAAUUCUAAAUAAUUCAAUAAAUUUAACCUUUCACAUUUAAAAAUUCUAUCAAUUUGAUCCUCAAAUCAAAGCUUUCAGCUUUUUAAAACAAAGACAUUUCACAUUUAUAAAUUUGUAAAACCCAAAAAAAAAAAAAUUUCUCUUCACUAACGAGUCAUUUUCCAAACCAACUUCCUUUUUUUUUCAUUAGUUUUCUUCUAAAUAUAAUAUUUCUAUAACCUUUUGAUUGAUAAAAUUUUGGUUAAAGAAAAUGAAAAAACAUUAAAGAUUUUUUUUUUUUUGAAAUCAAACUGGGAACUUUUUAUUAAAACAAAAUAAACCCAAACAAGUGCAUAAGCCUAUCAUAGACAAAGGUAAUCAUCCUAAAAAAAACUAAUUGGAGUCCAAACGUCAAAACCAAGGUAGAACACUCUAGAACUAAAGCAAGUGAAAUAAUAAAAUAAGAUAAAAGUAUUGAUAAUCUCAGUCUGCCAUUAGUGAUCUGUCUCCAAAUUUCCCAUUUUCAAUAGUCUUUUGGAUUUUGUUGGAAUCGGAAAUCUGGGAGUUUUGUGACGAGAUUAGAGGGAUGACCUCUCAACUCCCUUUUCAUCAGUUCUUCAUCUAUUCGCAUCAAUCUGGUUCUCUUGGCCGUUCCAUUUCCAAUUGCCAUUUAGAGUAGCUAUAGGGGUGUUUAUUCGGUUAACCGACCCGAAAUAACAUUAACCGAAUUAACCGACCUUUCAAAAUCUUUAAUCGUUAACCGAACCAAAUUUUUUUUCAAAAAAAUUAACCUAACCGAAAAUUAUAUGUUUUUUUUAUUUUUGUUUAAAAAUUAACCGAAUUAACCGAAUUAUCCGAAUUAACCAAAUUGAAUCACUACAUAAUUAAAUUAUUUUUAGACUUUAGACUUUAGUUUUAGUCUUAGUUUUAGAAUUUUAUUUUUAAUUAUUAAAUUAUUUAUAAUUCCUAUGAUUGGGUUGGGUUGAAUACUUGGGUUUAGAUUGGGUUUAGGUGAAUAGUGGGCCUAUUUAUAUAUUAUAAUUUUAUUUAUUAAUUUUUUCGGUUAAACCGAAAAAAUUUGGUUAACCGACCGGUUUCGAACCGAAUUAACUGUUAACCGAAAAAUCAAAAAAUAAUUAACCGACCCCCAACCGAAAAAAUUAGAUUAACCGACCGAUUAAUCGAAUUCGGUCGGUUAACCGAAUUUUUUCGAUUUUACCCGAAUUUUGCACACCCCUAAGUAGCUGGGGACCUCUCCCAUCAGGUAAACUAUUUCUUUUUGCUUUAGGUUUGUCGUGGCUAUGUUAUGGGCUAACUAAUUAGCCGACCUAGGAACAAAGUGAAAAACUAGUGAUUGAAAUCUUUCUUUUUCUUUUUGGAUGUCCCUGAUAUGCGCGCUGAUUUGUGAUUUAUUGAUUGAUCUUGUCAUACAUUUGUUGAUGAUGGAUUUGGAGUCUCCUUCCACUAUUACAUCUAUGAAACCCAUUUCGAUCCCUGUGAGCAUGACUUCAAAACAUGCGAUAGCUUCUACGUCAAAGGCCGUGCCAACCGCCGUAGGAAAGUGAGAUUUAAAAAUCAUGACUUCUCUGUUGGCAUUUCGUGCCAUAAUCGCAGAUGUCGAUUUAAGGUCCAUACAGUCGAACGAGGAUCGAAAUUGAUUUUAAUGGUCUGGUAUCAGGUGAUUUCCAUUUCUCCUUUUCCCCAAUGGUGAUAAUCUUUCUUUCAGCCAAACCAUCCAGUUCAUAAAUGUAAUGUCUGGUGAAAUUUGCUGCUUUUGUUCCUGAGUAAGAUUUUCCUUCAUGCAGAUUUCUAUUCCUGUCAAGCCAAAGCACCCAUAUUUCACAGACAAACAAGCGUCAUUGGAGCUCAGUACACUUGCUAAAAAUCCAUGUAAGCCAUUCUAAGCAAUUUAUUGAUUCCCUUUGGACUAUACAAUCAAAGUUUAAGUUUUGCCAUAUUUCUACUAUUGUAGGGCAUCCGGCAAAGACAUUCCAAAGAGUUCCAAUACCCACCUUGCAUCUGAGGCACUUGUUGCUAUGGGUCAAUCUCCUAACAUAUAAGUUGACCAUCGUGGGGAGGAAAUUCCAAGACACUCUCCAGAGCAUAAUCUUUAUUUUGUUAGGGAUUUGUAGUUCCCAUAGUUGUUUGUAGAAUUGUUUUAUUAUGUUCCGUAGAACAUUAAAUCUAGUUGUAGUAUUUUGGGUCUGUAAUAGUUUAUAGGCACUCCGAGUAGUAUUUUGGGUCUGUAAUAGUUUAUAGGCACUCCGAAAUCGAGCAUGUACCCGAGGGCUCACCGCGCUAUAUGAUCAUAUCAUCAUGCUUGUCGCUCGCUAAUGGGAUCUGUAAGAUUCUGUCCGUAUAAUUUGUCUCAAAGGUAUUACGAAUAAGCUCUUCCUUCCAUACUCUAUUGGUACUGUCAAUUAAACAAGCAACAGUAGAUAAGUCUGUGUUAUUAAUUUGAUUAUAUACUCUAUAAUUUUCUACCCCGGGCAACCACGAAUCCUCAUUAAUUAAUAUGAUUUCCCCUGUACCAACUCUCCAACUCAGACCUUCAUUGAAAAGACUUUUUGCUGCCCAAAUACUUUUCUAUGUGUAUGAUGGUGUGCGUCCUAGCCCAGCCUAUAGGAAAUUAGUAGAAGAAUAAUAUUUUGCUUUUAGAAUCUGUACUAGUAACAAGUCUAGUUUUUCAAUUAGACGUCAUCCUUGCUUGGUGAGUAGGGCCACAUUAAAUUUGGCCAGAUUCUUAAAACCCAAACCACCUUUCUAUUUUAGUUCACACAUUUUCUCCCAGCUACACCAAUGGAUUCCUUUGCGCCCAUGUCCUUUCUGCCAUCAAUACUUAGCUAUUAUCGCUUCCAUUUCUCCACAUAAAGUUUUUGGUAAUAAAAAACACGUCAUGGAAUAGGUAGGAAUUGCUUACAGGACUGAUUUGAUGAAGACUUCCUUAUCCCCUUGUGACAAGAAUCUCAAACUCCAUCCAUCAAUUUGCUUUUUAAUUUGAUCCUUUAAACUUUGAAAGGAUGUCUUAUUUUUCUUUCCUACCAAAUUGGGAAGACCAAGAUACUUCUUAAUAUCAUUCGAUCUUCUCACUUCUAGCAAUCCCGUUACCAACUGUCUAUCAGCUUCUAAGGUAUUAGUGCUAAAAAUAUGGUGGACUUUUCAAAGUUCACACACUGGCUAGAACAUAAUUCAUAUGUUUUUAAAAUUCUUCUAACCUGUUGAGCUCUCUUACUGGCCACACACUGGCCAGAACAUAAUUUAUCCGCAAAGAGGAUGUGAGAAAUACCUACUAGCCUUUAUCCCUUUAAGCUCUUCCAUUCUCAAUGCCGAACGCAUGAGGGAUGAGAGGCCUUCAUAGCAAAUUAGAAAAAGAAAGGGACUAAGAGGGUCCCUUUGAUUAAGUCCUCUCGUUGGCCUAAAACGUUCUCCUUUACCCCCAUUUAGAAUGAUUGAGUAAGAGACUGUCGUUAUACAUUUCAUUAUAAAAUCCACCCAAUGUUGCACAAAACGUAUUCGCUCCAUCAUAAUCCUUAGAAAAUCCCAUUCUACCUUGUCAUAAGCUUUACUCAUAUCAAGCUUGAGUUCCAUGUGCUCUUUUUUUCCAACCCUUUUAUUCUUUAGUGUAUGCAUGAUUUCAUAGGCCACAAGCACGUUAUCAAUAAUUAAAUAUCCUGGAAUGAAGGUACUUUGUGCAUUAUCUAUACAUGUUUCAAAAACAUGUUGAAAUCUAUUAGCUACCACAUUAACUAUUACUUUGUAGAGAACAUUGCAUAAAUUAAUAGGUCUAAAAUUUAUCCUAUUUGUGGGUUGAGAGAUUUUGGGUAUCAAUACAAUGUUCGUGACAUUUAGAAGUUCCAAAUCUCUGCCUUCAAUUAAAAUUUCCAAACAAAAGGAGGUUACCUCUGUACCGAUUACUUGCCAACAUUUUUGAAAGAAAAUUGCUUGAAAGCCGUUGUCUUUAGGAGCCUUUGUAGGGCCCAUUCCUUUCAAAGCUAUCCAGAUUUCUUUAGCGGUGUACUUUGUUGUAAACUGUAUAUUUGCAUAUUCAGUAAUGCAUUUCUCAAUUCCUUGUAAGAACAAUUCGAUGUUGCUUACUCCUCCUAACAUGAACAGCUCUUGAAAGAAGUUUUUUGCUAUCAUCUCCAUCUCGUCCACACCAUUGACUUUUUCUCCAUUUUUAUUGCGUAAGCUUCUAAUAGUAUUAGUCCUAUUUCACUGAGUGGCACACUUAUGGAAGAAUGUCGUGUUUCUAUCUCCCGAUUUCAGCCAAUUGGCACGUGCUCUUUGCUCCUAGUAUGCCUUAUCUUUAUCAAUUUCUAGAUUGAGAUGUAUCUUUGUGUUUAUAAUUUCAAUCAAAUUCCCAUCAUUCCUGUCCUCCUCUAGCAAACUCUCUAAUUUUCGACUUAACUUAUGUUUGAUCCCUACCCUUCCUUUUCAGAUUUGAGUUACCCAUUGAAUAAUUCCCUAUUUUAAAUUUUCAAGUCUAUUCGAUAGUGAUCCUACAGAUUUUUCCCAAAUAUUUGACUCUGUCUUCUCAAAAGAACUUUCUAGUAACUACCAUGCCUCAAACAGAAAUUAAGCCUUAUGGAUCUCCUUACGUUCCUGCUCUGUAUGAAUGAGUAAAGGACAAUGAUCUAAAUGUGAGUAGGGUAAGUAUUAAAUACGAGCAUGGAGGAAAGUCGAAAACCACUCUGUAUUCUCCACCCCUUUAUCUAGCAUUUCCUGUAUGUUCGUUUCUGGUAAGUUUCCCUUUUUCUCAUGUAAACCACAAUCCAGAAAACCCAACAUCCAUAAGUUGACACUAAUCUAGAAUUGUGCGAAAAGCCUCCAUUCUUCUUUCAUCUCUUGGCACCAUUCCUUUCUUUUCGAAUGAAUAUAAGAUUUCAUUAAAGUCCCCACAAUAAUCCAGGGAUGAGUUUGAGUCCUUCCCAAUUGUCUGAGUAAGUUCCAAGUGCUACACCUUUCAUUAGCAAAAGGUGUUCCAUAAAAUCCCGUGAAUCGCCAGUCCUUGUUGCCUUGAUUUUCUUUAAUAAGAGUAUUUAUAUGAUUUUUAGAAUAGCUAAUAAUCGUGACUUGAAUAUCUUGUUUCUAAGCCAAUGAGAGCCUACCAUACGAACUUUCUGCUGAAUAUCAAAACCAUUUAUGAAUUCACAGCUUCUCCUAAUCCUAUCUGUACAAGCCCAAUUUUUAGCCCAAAACCCAAUUAACCCUAAACUAAAUAAAAACAAUUAAACCCCAACUACCCAAUUACAAACCAAAGCCCAAAUCAGCAACCCAAUACCCAACUAGCCUAACCCGAAGCCCAAACCUAGCCCAACUACCCAACUGGCCCAAUCCCUCCAAAGUCAAACUAGGGUUUCAGAAAAGAAACCCUAGCGCCGCAUCUGCUGACCAGCCGCCACUGCCACAGUCAUGUCGCCCACUUGCCCUGCCACCGCCGCUUCUGCCGCCGCACGUCCCAUCGCCACUUGCCUACAAAACGAGAGAAAGAAAUGACAAGUAAUAAAUAAAAAAUAUUGUAAAAAUGGCUAUAAAGCCAUAGCAAAAAUUGUAAAACAAGGUUCCCCCCCCUUUUCUCUCGAUUUGAAGAAAUAAAAAAACAAAAAAAAAACAGAUUCAACAACCCCUUUUCGGUAUAUUUAUUUUCUUUUUCUAAUUUUAAUUUGUUUUUCUUUAUUUUUUUCUUUCGAAUUAUUUGUGUUCGAUUUUGUUUCUUUUGUUUUUUAAAACUAUAUAUAUAACAUAUAAAAAAAGCAGAAAAAACAUACCUUUUGAUUUUUCAUGCCACCGUGUACUGUGGCCGGCGCGACGGCGUCGUCGGCGGAGGAUUGCCGGAGCCCAUGGCCAGACUUGGGGCCUGAGAGAGAAUGAGAGAGCUCUCUCUCUGUUUUUUUUUAAAUGAUGAAACUGAUUUGUUUUUUGGUUUUUCUUAUUAUUUAUACUAAACAUGAAACGACGUCGUUUUGGUGGGGAGGAUCCGCGUGUUGACCUGACCCAACCGCCUAGGAUCCGCGUGUUUUCUAGCGCAUGGGUAAUUUGCGCACGCGGUCCUCCCUCUUUUGCGAUGGUUUACAAUUUGGUCCAUAGUUGUUGUUUCUCUCUUUUUUAAUUUUGCUGUAUACUUUUUAUUUUGUUUCACUUUGGUCCAUAUUGCAGUAGGGCAUUCCGUGGGCUGGGGAUAAUUUCCCAUUUGGCCCUCCGUCCUUUCGCGCCUUGUCAUUUUGGGCCCACUGUGUCUAUUUUAUUAUGGAUUCGACCUUUAAAUUUUAUUUUUAUCAUGAAUUAGUCCAUUUUGCCUUUUUUUUUAAUCUAGCUAUUAUCAUAUAUUUUUUUUCUUUUUUUUCCCCUGUUAGUUACGUAGUCAUUAAUAUUAUAACAUUAUAUCAUAUUACUAGCGUUGCAUUAUUAUUAUUAUUAUCGUUAUUAUUAUACUUAUUUUUUAUGUAUAUAUAUGUAUAUUUUUACGAUUACUACUAUUAUAUCAUAAGUUUUAAAUUAUUAUUGUUAUAUUUUUAUUUUAUAUUUACUUAUUUAAAUUUAAAUAUAUUUUGUCCUAUUAUUAUUACUAUUAUAGCUAUUUAUUUAUAUCUUUGUAUCUUAUUAUAUAUAUACCUUUAUAAACGUUUUUUAUAGCUUAUAUACAUACGUUUUGUUAUAUAUAUUCAUAUAUAUAUACCUAUAUAUAUAGACUUUUUAUAUUUAAUGAUUGUUGUAUAAGUAUAUAUGUAUAUACAUACACUUACAUAAUUUUUCAUGUAAUAAUACGUACAUAUGCAUAUGUUUUUUUUUUAUAUUUUCAUAAUUUUAUACAUAUAUAUAGAUGUAUAUAUAUUUUUAUAAUUUUGUUAAUCUUGUUCAUUUAUUUAUUUACAUGUCCGUUAUUAUUAUUUGUUAUGCUUUAUAUUUGUUUAUUAUUGUACAUACGUGAUCGAUUUUAUUUAUAUAUAUGCGACUUCUUAUUUAUUUAUAUUUUGUUUUGCUUAUAUUAUUUUAUUUACAUCAUUAUCAUCAUCAUUCUAUUACACCCAUUUUUUUUUAGACUUCAAAAAAGAAAUUUUAAAAAUAUAAGUAAUAUUCGGUAUUUUGGAUCUUCGAGAGAAUCGAGCCCUAACGUAUUGGGUUCCGACUUUCUUCGUUGAACUUAAAUAAUCGAGAUUACUCUUUUAAAAAUGAUAAAAGCUCGUUAUCGAGAAUUCAAUAUGUUGUGUCCUAACGCAUUGGAUGUGACACGUUGUUUUCUCGAAACGAGGAUUUUUCGAAAUAAAUAUAAUAUUCAAUGUUUAAUAUUUUGAUAAAUUGUGCCCUAACGUAUUGGGUUGCGAUUUCUUCAUUUGAUCUAAACAAUUGAAUAUUCUCUUUUACACGACUCUUGUCAAACUCAAGUUUUAAACGAUAUCGGGAACUAAAAAAGGAUCGUGUCCUAACUUACUGGUCGUGAUCCCUUUUUUAUCCAAAAUAGUUAAAUAUCUUUUGAACAAGCAUUUUCAUUCGCCUAUCGGGAAUUCGAGACAUUGUGUCCUAAUUUACUGGAUAUGAUUCUCUUUCUCGAAUAACGUGAAACAUGCCCUUUUCCUGAAAAUUUUCAACGUUUUAAUACAAGGAUCGUAUUUUUAAAAUUUUCCAAAGUUCUCAAUUUUUGACAUUAAGACAUUAAGUAAUCAACUAAGGUACCAAUUUUGGGCGUAUCGAGGGUGCUAAUCCUUCCUCGUGCGUAACUGACUCCCGAACCCGUUUUCUAAAGUUCGUGGACCAAAACCGUUGUUUUAAUAAAAUCAAAUUAUUUAUUAAAAACAACUUUUUUCAAGGUGACCCAAUCACACCUCAAAAGGAUUGGUGGCGACUCCCGUUUUUAUUUUCAAAAUCCAAGUCGACCCGUUUUCAUCCAAAAAAUAGUGUCAACACUAUCUAUACGAGUGCCAUUCACUUUUGUCUCCAUAAAGAAGACCAUUUGGGGAUUAUGUUGCUUCAGUGUGAACUGAAGCCUUCUUAUUGCUCGAGGACUCCCCAAUCCUUGAACAUUCCAACUUAUUGUUUCAUUGGGUCCGGUCGGCUUGCCUAUUGGCAAUUGCCGAUCCUAAUUGGGAAGACAGAGCCAUUUAAUCUUUCGAUUUCUUCAGGGAGUGGUAGUUUACCCCAUCAUCUUCAAAUCGCACUUUUUUAUGAUUAUUCUUAAUGACUGAACAGAUCUCGGUAUCGUCUUCUUCAGCUGAAAAAUCCUUCCUCUUACAUGUUACGUUUUCCAUCUGGACAUCAUUAAUCUGCCCUAUCCUUCCUAUUUUUUUCCAACUUAACUUUUUUGGGUUUUCUAUUUUCUUAUCUCAGUUGCACUAAUAUUUGUCUUAAAUUUUGCUGAAUCCCAAGGCUGUUCUAUUUUUGUAAUUAAGUCAUUAAAAUCGAUAGUUCCAGAUUCAAUUAAGUCAAGACGACUUUGAUUAUUUGUCUUAUUUUCCUCAAACUUGAUGGGUAUUUCCUCAGGUCACAGAUCUGUCAAAAAUAUUUCCUUUUGUAAUUUUUCCUACCCUUAUUGUGUUGCUACCUGCUUCUUGCUUGUAAUGAAAUAUUUUAGAGAAUUAGUUCCAGAUGUGUCCAAUCCUUCAUUCUCCCUAGUAUAUAAACAUUGUUUCAUGGAUUUUUUUACUGAAACACCCAAUUGGAGACUUUCUUUACCAACUAGAUUAGAUUCAGCUUUCAGCGCCAGUGAGUAAGGGAGGUCAUCUUCCCUUUUUUCCACCUCCAAAUUUGAGAUCUCCUUACAAUCUUUCGCUACAUGUCCCAUACAACCACAACCAAAGCAAAAAUUCGAUAGGGCUUCAUAUUUAAAGGGGAGCCAAACUUUUCCUUGAUCGCCAGUUGUAAUAAAAAUUCCCCUCUGAAGUGGUUUUCGAGCAUCUAGCUGAACUUUCAACUGAAAAACAUCACUUUUUAUCUCCAACCUUAAUAUCCUUCCAAAAGUCAAACCUAUUGCGUGCAUCAAAUCUUUCUUUUCACAUUCUGGUGGGCAAGGGCCAAUUUUGAGCCAAAACGGGGAGAAAAUUAAUUUGAUAUUGCUUCUUUCUGUCGCCUCCUUCAAUUUGUCAAAAAUUAUCAAUUGUCUUCUAAAUAGCCACGGUCUGUCUUCCAUAAUCAUCUCUAAAUUGUUCUCUUCCUUGAAUGAGGUCUGAAAUAGAUUUUUCCCAACCACUUGGAUUUCAAAUUUUCUCCUAGUUUUCCAUAUACUUCUCAACUGUGCACGAAAACUAUCUGGGUUGUAUGAUUUCCUCGACCACACAGAGCAUAAUAAUGAUAAGGUACUUUUUAGUACAACCAAAGAGCUAUUUACUGUCAACUGUAUUAGUUCUUCUGCUAAGAGGGAGAUCUCGUCUCCCGCCAUCUCGGAAAGAAGUCACCGCCCUACUCCACCCCAACCAUAGCCAGUCUUGUUUCUUUGGGAUAUUAAGAGAGAGCACUCUUGACCUAACCUUAAAAAAAACUCUUUAGAUUUAGUUGUUGUUUGAUAAACUCAAAAAUUAAGUGCUGAAAAAAUAAGUAUUAAAAAUUGAAGUAUUGAAUUUAAGUUACAAUUGAAGUAUUGAAUUUAAGUUACAAAAUUGUUUGAUAUAUUACUUAAAAUUAAUUAUGCAAUAUAAUUAAAUUGUUUGAUAAAUAUAAAAUUUAAAUUAUAAAGAAAUUAUAUUCUACAUUUUAUCCUUAAUUUUUAAACAUUUCACUUUAUUUUUAAAAAAAUCAAAUUUUAAACACAAAGUUUUUAUAAGAUAAUGUAAUAUUAAAAUAAAUAAAAUAUAAUUGAAUUAAUUAAAAAUAUUUCCCUAAUAAAUAGCUCGUCUACUUAUUAUUUUCCACACCUUUCUUAUAGAAAAAAUUCUUUCAGGUUGUUUUUAUUUUGGAUUAUCAAACACGAAUAACAAAUUAAAUAUAUUGAAAAUUAAUAUUUUUAAUAGAUUUAAAAAUUUUUCAACAAUCUAUCAAACAAGGCUUUACUCUUGUUGUUAACAGUAUGAUAUUUCCUUUAAGGUACAUAGAAAUAGUUCUCGAAGUUGGUCCUUGAAAUUGGAAACUAAAUCCAGAGUUAAAAAAUAUGGAUUUGAAAAAUUCAAUUGUUUAAUUGUAUAAGAAAAAAUAUAACAUUUAAUUUUUCAUAAGAAAAAAAAAGGUGAAAGAAUUAAUUGAAUUUCUUUUUGUUACAUUGAUUAUGAUUUUUUUAGUUAUAAACUAAUUAAUAGAUUAUUAUGUGCUUCAUUUAUUUUUACUUAUUUUUUUAUUUUUAAAUCCACAAUAAGUAUUACAUAUCACCAAUAUUUUGAUUUAGUGUAAAAUAAUUUACCAAAGAAAUUAAAAACUAAAAUUAUUCUAGUUAGAGUGAAAUUUUAAUUUUUACAAAUAUUAAUUUAUUUCUAUAAUUUUACUAUUUAAUAUGUUUUUUAAUUUAUAUUUUCUAUUAUUUUUAAUGUUGUUUAGUUAAUUUCUAACGGCAACAUCUUGAAAAUAUAAACAAAAAGGGUACUUAUUGUAAUAACUCAAAUUUGCUCAGCCCAAACCAGAAAUAAAUAAACAAAAAUAAAGACCAAAUGAAAAUAGUCCAAAAAUAGUCCAUUUACACUGGGCUCAAUAUGGCCCAAACUAAACACAACCCACUACCCAAAAUCAAGCCCGAAUAUCCCUAGCCCAAAACUGAAACAAAAUAGAAACCCUAGGGUUUCGGAAAUGGCACGAGCGCCGCAACAGUGACCCCCAGUACCGCACACCUUCGUACGUGCCACGUCCGCUCCUCCCACGCGCGUCUGCCUCUUCACGCACGUAGCGCCACCACGAGCCUCCAGCUGGCCUCCGUACGACCAUACCUGCGCAACACACAAACAAACAGCAAGAGAAAAGCAGAGAAAAAAAGGAAAAACAGAAAGAAAAAAGAAAUUCCUAUUCUUUUUUAUUUUGAUUUUUCUUUUUAUUUUCGGGUUAUAAAACCCCCAUGGAUGUACUCGAUUUUUUUGAGGGCACGAAAUCAAUACAAAAAAAGAAGGUUUUCUUUUUCUUCCGUUCUGUUUUCUUCUCCGAUGGCUUUUCUUUCUUUUUCCGUUUGUUAUUAACCUCAUAUAUAAAUAUAUAGAGAGCAAAUAAAAGAAAAAAGGAUGGAGUUAGAGGUCUUACCUGGAGACGCCCUCGGAUCCGCGCGAAAAGGAGCCGAAAAGCCCUUUAUGGUGAGACCACCGUUCACGGUGGAAUUGUGGCGGAGGAGCGGUGUAAAGAGCUAGGGCCGAAUCCCUAGCAGAGAAGCUUCAGUUUUUUUUUUAUUUCAAGAGCUGUCAAAUGUUUUUUAAGAAAAUUUGGUUUAAAUAGAAAUUCCAAAUGACGCCGUUUAAGGCCUAUGACCCGAUUACCAGACCCGCUCCAUGGGGGAUCCGCGCGCCCCUAUUAAUUGGGUUAUUUGCAACCCCGGUCCCUUCGCCUUUUAUGAUUUUGCGAUUAAACUCUUUUUUAUUUUUUUAUUUUGCCCUGAAAUUUUUGUAUUGUUUUAUUUUAGUCCUUUUCGAAACGCUGCGCAUAGAAAGACUGGGCUAUUUACUGUUUAGAUCCCUGCUUCUUUGCACGUAUUGUAAUAUAGUCCCUUAGUUUUUAACCGAAUACAAAGUUAAUCCUUUUAUUUUUAUUUAUGUUUGCUGCCUAUUUAAUUUUGUUUUACUUCAAUUUAAUUUUUGUUCCAUUAUUUUAUUUUAUUUUGUUAUAUUUUUCUUUUAACUUUGUUGCAAUUCUAAUUUAGUUUUUUAUUACUUUAAUUUUAAAUCUAAUUAGUUAUUAUUUUUGACAUAUUUAUUUUUAAAUAUAGUAUUAUUUUAGUAUUUAAUCUUAACAUUGUUUUAAAUUUCUCAUUAGUAUUGUUUUAAUAUAUAAUAUACUAUUAUUUUAAAUUACCAUUAAUAUUAUUUAAAUUUAUCAUGCAUCAUAGUUUAAAAUUUAUCAUAUACUAUAGUUUUAAACUUAUCAUAGAUUAUUAUUUAGAUGCAUUAUAUAUUCAUAUUUUUAAGUUAUCAUAUGCUAUUAUUUUAAAAUUACUAUGUAUUAUUACUUAAAGAUAUCAUAUUCUUUUUUAUGUUUUUGUAAAUUCAAUAUAAUUUGUAUAUUUUAGGGUUUUAUUUUAUACUGUAUUUUGAAAUUUACUUUUAUGUAUUUCUUUGUUUUAAAAGACCUAUAUAAUAAUAUAUUUUUUUACAAUGUUAUAUUAUAUAUACCUAUAUAAUUUCCCUUCAAAUUAUUUUUUUUUUACUUUUUAAAACUUGUUGCGUUUUUGUUGUAUAAUUUGCUUGGAGCUUAGUUUAAGAUUAGUUUUUAGUUCAUUAGCUUUCGAAUAUUAAAGUUAUUAUUUGUAUAUAAUGUGAGAUAAUUGCUCUUACGUGUAUUGUAUUGCUUGCUCGUAUCUAACGAUUCUUUGAUGUUCAUUAGCAUACAUUUUAAUUUACGAAUCACCAUUUCGCGUUGUAUGUUUUUACUUGUUCAAAAGAUUAUGUUUAAUAUCACUUAAGUAUCAAAAAUAAUUUUAUACAAAAGUCUUUCAAAAUAACGCGACACUCGGAAUUUGGGAUCCUCGAAAAGAUUGUGUCCUAACUUACUGGAUUCCAAUCUUCCUCGGGAUCUAAGAAACCGAAUAUCGUUUUUAAUUAACACACAAAUAAAAAGCUCAUUCUCGGGAAUUCGAUAUGUUGUGUCCUAACUCAUUGGAUAUGACAUAUUAUUUUCUCGAGACGAGGAUUCUUCUAACAAAUAAAAAUAAAGGCAAUAUUCGAUAUUUAGGAAUUUUGUGAAAUCAAACCCUAACUUACUGGGUUUUGAUUUUCUCAUUUGACCCCAAAUAAUCAAAUAUCCUUCUUAAAAUGCAUAGGUUUUAAAAGUCAAAAGAUAAACUUAAUUUUGAGGAUUUAAAAUGUUACACUCUAACUUACUGAGUGUGACAAUUUAUAAGUGAGUCUAAUCAUCCAAUCCAUUUUAUUCAAACUUUCUUUUCAAAGGAUUGUAUUUUAAAAUCUUUUUAAAUUUUUGACACUAAGACAUUAAACAAUCAAUUUGGUACCAAUUUUGGGCGUUACGAGGGUGUUAACCCUUCCUCGUGCGUAAUCGACUCCUGAACUUGUUUUCUCAAAUUUCGCAAACCAAAACAAUUUUUAAAUGGUGAACCGAUCACACCUCAAUAAAAGAUCAGUGGCGACUCCCAUUUAAUUUUCAAAGUCGAUUCCUAUAUUAUUUUUUUUAAAAUAAAAAAAUGGUUUCGACACUUAUGUACCAAAUUGAAUAAUUUCAACCAUAAAUAAAACAAUUAAAAUGUGGAGGUUAAACUGAUUAAAUUAUUUAAAAUUAGGAUUAAAUUGAUAGAAUAAGUAAGUAUUGAGGACUAAAUGUGUUAUUAUACUAGUUAGAAAAAAGCUUUUCGCUUUCAAUUUAACAACGGAUAACCAAAACAAAAACAAACUCAAACAUUAGUGCUAUUUUGAAAAUUCUUAAAGUUGAGCGACCAAAACAGGAACACAGACAUAAUUGCGUGACCAUUUAUAUAAUUUAUCCUAAAUUUUAAUUUUUAUGAAAUAAAUAGACCAUAAAUUUAUUUGACGGUCAAUGGUGUGAAAGAGCUGUGCACCUUCCUUUGGUUACCAAUAAAUUCUUAACUUAAUCAAAGGAUUGGUCCAAACUUAAUUUUGGUCAAAUAUUAAGAAAGAAAUGGCUGAAAAAGAGCCAUCAAAAGGUGUCCAACCCCAACACACAAAGCUCCUAAGAGUUGAUAGCUACUUCAACAUCGGAAAUCAAUUUUAGCCUUAGAUUUUGUUAGAUUUUUCUAAUAUACUUUUAACAAGUAUUUUAUAUUUAAAUUUAUAUAUUUAGAGUUAAAUGGCAUAAAUUUGAGCAUGGCUUAUAUACGAUGAUAUUAUACAUGAUAUUUGUUUAUGAUAAAAUUCGACUAUAAACACUCAAAUAUAAAAAAUUUCCAUAAAUAUAUUAAUUAGUAGAUAUUGUAUCCACUUCUAAUUAUAUUAUUUUAUUAUUUCACUUUCAAUCAUACCUUUUUGUAAAGUAGGUUAUGACUUAAAAAAAAAAGUCUACUUUUUAAACACCACAUUUAAGAAAUGAUUUUAAAAUUGGAAUUAUGCAUGUACUAGUGUUACGGGACUAGAUCUUUCAUCUCGCGAUUCAUGCAGCCUUAGGCGAUCUGUUCGUCAAAACUCGCCUAAGUCAGUCUUUACUUAAGUGAGGAUUCCUUUAAAAGUCCUCUAAGGCACUAAUUUGUAUAGUGGAAGCAAUUUAUGCCAAAAGAAGCAACAAAAAACAACAGAAAGAACACCCUCCAAGUGUUUGAGUAAAUACUCUCAAUAUUCUCUUAUUCACAAAGAAUAAUGAAACAAUGAAUGGGGUGAGUACAAAUGAGGGGGAGACUCUUUAUUUAUAGUUGAGCUCCCCCAAAACCGACGAUUAAGAUUACAAUACAUCGACAGGCGAGAUUUAUCUUUAUCCCUUAAACCAUGGGAUUUACAAGAUAUAUCUAAUCCAAUCUAAUCUAAACUUUACAAGAUAUGAUUCUAUCAAUCUUUUAAAAUUAGUUACCAAAAUAGCCUAAGUUGCCAUCUCUUCACUAUCGGGCCAACUAAGAUUUAAUUCGACAGGCUUCUCCAAUAACUUACCGAAUCAGGUUAAUUCUUGCGGGUCAAAUGAUUCCCAUCUACACAAUAGAUCUCCAUCGAAUGCAUUUGGUGCGAUGGUCACAGGUUUUGAACUGCGGCCAUGACACUAGUAAUAGUAUUAUUUUCCAUAUUUCCUCCUUUCUUCCUUUGUUAAUUUGUUGAUACCAUUAAUUUUUGACCCACAAGCCGACAUCUACUUGAAUUAUAUACCUAUAAACCUCACUUGUAACUAUCUAUAAAUAGCCCCAUACCCCUUUCCUCCAUUCUGCAUUAAACAAAUCUAAGCUUUUGCAUAAUAACAUCCCCACCGUAAACAGCCUCACUCUGAGAGUUGUUUAGAAAAAAAAUAAAGUGGUAAGAGAAAUGGCAAAAUUCCCAGUGAUCAACUUGGAGAAACUGAAUGGUGAGAGAGCAGCAACCAUGGAUCUAAUCAAAGAUGCCUGUGAGAAUUGGGGCUUCUUUGAGGUACCGAUUGCUACUUUAUAUGUAUAUAUACUCUAUUCUCCUUGGUAGAUUUUUGCUAAUUAUUAGCGUGGUUCAUUUGGUGCAGGUGUUGAACCAUGGGAUUCCCUAUGAAUUUAUGGACAGAGUGGAAAGCUUGACGAAGGAGCAUUACAAGAAAUGCAUGGAGCAAAGGUUUAAGGAACUGGUGGCAAGCAAGGCCCUUGAGGGUCUCCAGGCUGAGGUUACUGAUAUGGACUGGGAAAGUACCUUCUAUUUGCGCCAUCUCCCUGAAUCCAACAUGGCUGAAAUCCCAGAUCUAACCGAUGAACACAGGAAGGUGAUGAAAGAAUUUGCAUUGAAAUUGGAGAAACUAGCAGAGGAGCUGCUGGACCUGUUCUGUGAGAACCUUGGUCUAGAAAAAGGAUAUCUGAAAAAGGCUUUCUAUGGGGCAAAAGGUCCCACCUUUGGCACCAAAGUUAGCAACUACCCACCAUGUCCCACCCCAGACAAAAUCAAGGGACUCAGAGCCCACACGGACGCCGGUGGCAUCAUCUUGCUGUUCCAAGACCCCCAAGUGGGCGGC